CCACAACAGACGUGCUUUGGCCAGAUGGUU
rnacentral:piRNA from 1 species